AUGAAGUUGAUCACAAACAAACAUUAACCCCUUUGUUUGGGCCGUGAAAAAUUUCUCCCAUCCCCUUUGUUCGAUAAAAAGAAAAAAGACCAUGCUGACGAAGGCAUGGUCUUUUU
rnacentral:sRNA from 1 species